rnacentral:rRNA from 1 species
AUACGGAGGAUCCGAGCGUUAUCCGGAUUUAUUGGGUUUAAAGGGAGCGUAGGCGGACGCUUAAGUCAGUUGUGAAAGUUUGCGGCUCAACCGUAAAAUUGCAGUUGAUACUGGGUGUCUUGAGUACAGUAGAGGCAGGCGGAAUUCGUGGUGUAGCGGGGAAAUGCUUAGAUAUCACGAAGAACUCCGAUUGCGAAGGCAGCCUGCUGGACUGUAACUGACGCUGAUGCUCGAAAGUGUGGGUAUCAAACAGGAUUAGAUACCCUGGUAGUCCACACAGUAAACGAUGAAUACUCGCUGUUUGCGAUAUACAGUAAGCGGCCAAGCGAAAGCGUUAAGUAUUCCACCUGGGGAGUACGCCGGCAACGGUGAAACUCAAAUGAAUUGACGGGG